rnacentral:tRNA from 1 species
GGUAGAGUACUCAAGCGGUCAACGAGAGCAGACUGUAAAUCUGUUGCCUUCGGGCUUCGUAGGUUCAAAUCCUUCCUCUACCACCA